CAGUAGCCGCGGUAAUACGAAGGGUGCAAGCGUUACUCGGAAUUACUGGGCGUAAAGCGUGCGUAGGUGGUGGUUUAAGUCCGUUGUGAAAGCCCUGGGCUCAACCUGGGAAUUGCAGUGGAUACUGGAUCACUAGAGUGUGGUAGAGGAUAGUGGAAUCUCCGGUGUAGCAGUGAAAUGCGUAGAGAUCGGAAGGAACAUCUGUGGCGAAGGCGACUAUCUGGGCCAACACUGACACUGAGGCACGAAAGCGUGGGGAGCAAACAGGAUUAGAUACCCGCGUAGUCCCUGUCUCUUAUAA
rnacentral:rRNA from 1 species